rnacentral:rRNA from 1 species
UACGUAGGGUGCGAGCGUUGUCCGGAAUUAUUGGGCGUAAAGAGCUCGUAGGCGGUUUGUUGCGUCGGCCGUGAAAACCUGCAGCUUAACUGUGGGCCUGCGGCCGAUACGGGCAGACUUGAGUUCGGUAGGGGAGACUGGAAUUCCUGGUGUAGCGGUGAAAUGCGCAGAUAUCAGGAGGAACACCGGUGGCGAAGGCGGGUCUCUGGGCCGAUACUGACGCUGAGGAGCGAAAGCUAGGGGAGCAAACGGG